rnacentral:rRNA from 1 species
CCCUUAGAUGUCCUGGGCCGCACGCGCGCUACACUGAUGCAUGCAACGAGUUUAUAACCUUGGCCUGAAAGGUCUGGGUAAUCUUUUGAACGUGCAUCGUGAUAGGGAUAGAUUAUUGCAAUUGUUAAUCUUGAACGAGGAAUUCCUAGUAAACGCGAGUCACCAGCUCGCAUUGAUUACGUCCCUGCCCUUUGUACACACCGCCCGUCGCACCUACCGAUUGAAUGGUUCGGUGAAGAUCUCGGACUUCGAUAUUUAUUCUUUAUUGAGUUUAUAUUGUGGGAAGUUAUCUAAACCUCAUCAUUUAGAGGAAGGUGAAGUCGUAACA